AUUGAACGCUGGCGGCAGGCCUAACACAUGCAAGUCGAACGAGUGGCGGAGGGGUGAGUAAUGUCUGGGAAACUGCCUGAUGGAGGGGGAAAACUACUGGAAAAGGUAGCUAAUACCGCAUACCAUCAGAGGUGCCCAGAUGGGAUUAGAGUGUUGGUGGGGUAAAGGCACACCAAGGCGACGAACCCUAGCUGGUCGGAGGGGAUGACCACACACACUGUAACUGAGACACUGUCCAGACUUCGACGGGAGGCAGCAGGGGGGAAUAUUGCACAAUGGGCGCAAGCCUGAUGCAUCCAUGCCGCGUGUAUGAAGAAGGCCUUCGGGUUGUAAAGUACUUUCAGCGGGGAGGCGUUACCCGCAGAAGAAGCACCGGCUAACUCCGUGCCAGCAGCCGCGGUAAUAC
rnacentral:rRNA from 1 species